UUAAUAUCCAAGCUUAAUCUAUAUUAAUAAUAAAUUAAAAUUUUUAUCGAUUUACCAAAUAAAUCCAUUA
rnacentral:tRNA from 1 species